AGAGUUUGAUCCUGGCUCAGGAUGAACGCUAGCUACAGGCUUAACACAUGCAAGUCGAGGGGAAACGAUAUUGGAAGCUUGCUUCCGAUAGGCGUCGACCGGCGCACGGGUGAGUAACGCGUAUCCAACCUGCCCACCACUUGGGGAUAACCUUGCGAAAGUAAGACUAAUACCCAAUGACGUCUCUAGAAGACAUCUGAAGGAGAUUAAAGAUUUAUCGGUGAUGGAUGGGGAUGCGUCUGAUUAGCUUGUUGGCGGGGUAACGGCCCACCAAGGCAACGAUCAGUAGGGGUUCUGAGAGGAAGGUCCCCCACAUUGGAACUGAGACACGGUCCAAACUCCUACGGGAGGCAGCAGUGAGGAAUAUUGGUCAAUGGGCGAGAGCCUGAACCAGCCAAGUAGCGUGCAGGAAGACGGCCCUAUGGGUUGUAAACUGCUUUUAUAAGGGAAUAAAGUUAGUCUCGUGAGACUUUUUGCAUGUACCUUAUGAAUAAGGACCGGCUAAUUCCGUGCCAGCAGCCGCGGUAAUACGGAAGGUCCGGGCGUUAUCCGGAUUUAUUGGGUUUAAAGGGAGCGUAGGCCGGAGAUUAAGCGUGUUGUGAAAUGUAGACGCUCAACGUCUGCACUGCAGCGCGAACUGGUUUCCUUGAGUACGCACAAAGUGGGCGGAAUUCGUGGUGUAGCGGUGAAAUGCUUAGAUAUCACCCAGAACACCGAUUGCGAAGGCAUCUGGCGAAUCCGUAACUGACGCUGAGGCACGAAAGCGUGGGGAUAGAACAGGAUUAGAUACCCUGGUAUUCCACGCCGUAAACGAUGAUGGCUAACCGCCGGCGACACACUGUCGAUGGCCAAGCGAAAGCGAUAAGCCAUCCACCUGGGGAGUACGUCGGCAACGAUGAAACUCAAAGGAAUUGACGGGGGCCCGCACAAGCGGAGGAACAUGUGGUUUAAUUCGAUGAUACGCGAGGAACCUUACCCGGGCUCGAACGGCACCUGGAUCACCCAGAGAUGGGCGAGUCUUCGGACAGGUGUCGAGGUGCUGCAUGGUUGUCGUCAGCUCGUGCCGUGAGGUGUCGGCUCAAGUGCCAUAACGAGCGCAACCCUUGCCGCCAGUUGCCAUCAGGUGAUGCUGGGCACUCUGGCGGGACUGCCACCGCAAGGUGUGAGGAGGGGGGGGAUGACGUAAAAUCAGCACGGCCCUUACGUCCGGGGCGACACACGUGUUACAAUGGCGGCCACAGAGGGAAGCUACCCCGCGAGGGGAUGCGGAUCUCGAAAAGCCGUCCCAGUUCGGACUGGAGUCUGCAACCCGACUCCACGAAGUUGGAUUCGCUAGUAAUCGCGCAUCAGCCAUGGCGCGGUGAAUACGUUCCCGGGCCUUGUACACACCGCCCGUCAAGCCAUGGAAGCCGCGGGCGCCUGAAGUCCGUGACCGUAAGGAGCGGCCUAGGGCGAAAGUGGUAACUGGGGCUAAGUCGUAACAAGGUA
rnacentral:rRNA from 1 species